rnacentral:rRNA from 1 species
GGAGUUUGGACCGUGUCUCAGUUCCAAUGUGGCCGAUCACCCUCUCAGGUCGGCUACGCAUCCUCGCCUUGGUGGGCUGUUAUCUCACCAACUAGCUAAUGCGCCGCAGGUCCAUCUUUAAGUGACCCAUACGGGCCUUUUAAAUAGAAGAGAUGCCUCUUCCAUUGUUAUCCGGUAUUAGCCAAAGUUUCCUCUGGGUAUCCCAAGCUUAAAGGCAGGUUACCUACGUGUUACUCACCCGUUCGCCACUAGGGUGCAAGCACCCUCGUUCGACUUGCAUGUGUUAGGCACGCCGCCAGCGUUCAUC